rnacentral:rRNA from 1 species
GAGUUUGAUCGUGGCUCAGGACGAACGCUGGCGGCGUGCCUAAUACAUGCAAGUCGAGCGAGUCUGCCUUGGAGAUCGGAGUGCUUGCACUCUGUGAAACAAGAUACAGGCUAGCGGCGGACGGGUGAGUAACACGUGGGUAACCUGCCCAAGAGAUCGGGAUAACACCUGGAAACAGAUGCUAAUACCGGAUAACAACAGAUGAUGCCUAUCAACUGUUUAAAAGAUGGUUCUGCUAUCACUCUUGGAUGGACCUGCGGUGCAUUAGCUAGUUGGUAGGGUAACGGCCUACCAAGGCGAUGAUGCAUAGCCGAGUUGAGAGACUGAUCGGCCACAUUGGGACUGAGACACGGCCCAAACUCCUACGGGAGGCAGCAGUAGGGAAUCUUCCACAAUGGACGCAAGUCUGAUGGAGCAACGCCGCGUGAGUGAAGAAGGGUUUCGGCUCGUAAAGCUCUGUUGUUGGUGAAGAAGGACAGGGGUAGUAACUGACC